rnacentral:rRNA from 1 species
GCUAAGCGCGCGGCAGGAGGCGGAGGAAAAGGGGGGGGCCGAGGGUUAAGCGGAAUUCAUGGGCGUAGAGCGUGCGGAGGCGGGUUGUUAAGCGAGAUGUGAAAGGCCGGGGCUCAGCCUAGGAAUAGCAGUUCGAACUGGCGAACUAGAGUCUUGUAGAGGGGGGUAGAAUUCCAGGUGUAGCGGUGAAAUGCGUAGAGAUCUGGAGGAAUACCGGUGGCGAAGGCGGCCCCCUGGACAAAGACUGACGCUCAUGCACGAAAGCGUGGGGAGCAAACAGGAUUAGAUACCCGAGUAGUC